AUAAUGUACUGUAAAAGACAAAGUACAUAAACGGUUUUCCUAUUUUCUUAAUGACACAAAUGCUAAAGUGCAGGAUUGUUCGAAGAAGAUUUCAUUAAGAAAUAAUAAUCAUCCUUAUAAUGACAGAUUUAUAGCGUUGAAUUCAACAAGUUUGAAAAAAAGACGAAAGCGUAGUGGCUUAAUUUAAAUGAUUGAAUUAGGUACCCUAAGAAGUCCUAACGGUCUUG